CUUCCUGCUAGUUGAUUGACAAACCAGACUGACGUUGUAAUCUUCCGCAACGAAAGCUGCCGACCUCGGAUUUACAGACGGGGCUGUGAAACACACCAGCAGCCCGGUUGAUGCUGUCCCACCGGCCGAUAGAUCCAGGAGCUCCCGGCUCCGUCUUUGAUGGUGGACCUGGUUCUGGCUCCUCUUCCUGGUCGGAGCCCAUUGGCGGGCUGGGAGUGGAGCCUCACCUGACCUGUAGUUCCUGCUCUUCAGUGUCGUCCUCUCUGAGCACCACAGCUGGAAUGCUGAAACUAUAGACCCACUCUAACAGCUGCCUUCUCAGCCAUGACCUUCUGGGUCUCCUUACUGAGGGCAUCACUGAUCAUCUUCUGGACAACUUUCAGGUCAGCCGCCUCCACUAUGACUGUAGUUCCAUGUAAUGAAUUAAAUCAAGAGACACAGUGUAUUUAUACUGCUUGAAUAGUCCAUCUAUCCAUCCAUCAUCUAUACACCUCUUAAUUAGGGUCAUGGAGGGCUGGAGUCUAUCCCAGCUGACUGAGGGUGAAGACAGGAGACACCUGGACAGGUAACAGUCCGAAACAUCAAGUAAUGUAAAAUUUAAUCACCUCUAAAUAACUGCUUUAUUUCUAAGUGUCAAAAACAAAUAUUUCAGAAAAAAAGUGUAUUGGAAAUGCAAGUCUCAAAGAAGUUAGAAAACCUGUGAUCACUGAAACACGCAUUGAGAGCACCUGUGACUUCCAAUCAGCCUCAUUUCAUGAACAUGGUUGUAAAAUAACUUGUGAACAGCAGAACUUUCUCAGGCCAGCUGCACGUCCGCAUCGUGGCUCCACACUGAAAAGAAUCGCCAGAUGAAUCAUCGUAAAGAUGGAAAAGGAUACAGGAAUAUCAGGGAGCAACUAAGAACUGGUGGAAAUAUAGCUGCAGCUGUAAGCACAAGGUAGAGUAUGAGCCAUGUCCCCACCAAUCAGAACCACAGAUGAAAAACAGACGGACCAGGGCUUCAGACAGGGGUUCAUGAUGAAAAUCUGACGUUCUGUGACAGCUCAGACGUUUUGAAGGACAGUGCAUCAAAUCAGCUGCUAUGGACAGAGGAAAAGAAAAAAAAAGCUCUCUUCAACACAAACUUACAUGAUGAAAUUACUUCAGCUAUAGGACAAUAAAAGAACCCUGAUGGAUACUGGGAGCACGUUGUUCAGCAUGUUCAGUGUGAACAAGACUACCACAGUGAAUACAUAGAUCUGAGAGUGAAGAAGUGUGAUGAUGUCAGAUUGCAUGAGUGAAGAAAGUGUCAGGGAAAUGGCAUGAAUAAAUGCCCCAGGAUGCAUUCAAAUACUGCCAAGAUCACUCCAAAACCGCAGAGGAGGAAUAUUCCAUGAUGUAAAGGAUCCAACGCCUUAAUAAAAAUGAAAACUAUGGCCUGGCCGAGUCACUUCACUGGAACACAGAACUAAACUCACGAAUCCCAGACAGUAGUGCAACCCUGGUAUUUGUUACACGGAGUUCCUGCUGUGGAGCCUACAUUUUUAACAUGGUAGAUCUAAACUGUUGGUAUUUUAUUUGACACAUUGUAAUGCAGUCAUUGGAUCCUGAUCAGUCAUAAUUAAUUAUUUCUGUAAUAAAUACGACAUAAUGAACCUG